UUGAACCCAAUACUCUUCAUGGAAGUUUAAAUUUGAGGAUUCAUCGAAGAGGUGAUUCAACUCGAGAAACAAGUUAUGCAAAUGGCUCCUGUGGAUCACCUUCAUCAUCACAAAAUGACCGGAUGCCUUAUCAGCCAGAGACUGUCAUUGAUAUGAAGCAGAGAUUUGUUGGCCACUGUAAUGUUGGAACUGACAUAAAACAGGCCAGUUUUCUGGGCCAGAGAGGUGAGUAUGUGGCCAGUGGAAGUGAUGAUGGUAGAUGUUUUAUCUGGGAAAAGCAAACUGGUAGACUAAUAAAAAUGCUUAAUGGAGACGAAGCUGUUGUGAACUGUGUGCAGUGCCAUCCAUUUGAUUGUGUUGUGGCUACAAGUGGUAUUGA
rnacentral:misc_RNA from 1 species